rnacentral:lncRNA from 1 species
AAAUGGAAUAUUUUGACGUAUUAAUGGUUCCCUAUAAAACCCUUUAAUUCUAAGAAAGUGUCAUAUGGUCUUGAACUCGGUCAAAACACUGCAGUAUGAAGGGUGAUAAUGAGUAAGCCUACGUUCAGUCGUUUUUUGAAAGCGACCACGCUGAGAUUGCUCCGUGAGCGACCGCUUCUGUGUGCAGCUGGCCUGGUGAUCGCUACGGGUUCGGCAGUCUACUUUUAUAACAAAUAUUACGGCGUCGGUGAGGAUGAACCGGCCACCGGGGAGACCGUGGACCGUGUUGUCACGGUUGAGGAGGAUCAUGAUCCCACCCUGGACCAGGAGGACCCAGUCCUUGUUCAGUUUGUGGAUGAGGAGGUUGGGCAGCGGCCCUGUCUGGCUUUAGUCCCUUGGUCUGGACCUCUGUGGGUUCCCAGCUCUCUGACUUAUUACCUUACCCUUGCUGGGAGGAUGUUAGUGAGAGAGCUGGCAGUGUUAAACACACAGAUGUUCAUGAGGGAUCAGCCUGUUCUCAUCUGUUUCACUCCUGUUGGGAGGAUGGUGUGGGAGGAACUGUCUUCUCAAACUGAACAGCCAAAUAGUGAAGACUCUGGUUUUCCCUAUGAGAAGAUGCAGCUGGUUGGGAACUGGGGUUCAUUUCAUUUCCAUACCUGGAUAAUCCGUUAUGGACGAGUGCAGCAAAAUGAAGAGGACAUGCAUCACCUGUGCAUUGUGAGGGGAGUGGAGAAACAGCUGUGGUGGAGCAGAGUCAUUCAGGAAAAAAUCAUGGACCCAUGGGGUAUUGUCCAGGUGGUCCUCACCAACAAGGAGGUGACUGGUAUUAAGUUCCUUGGUAGAAGGAUCCAUGGACUCAGGUCUUGCCUCGUCAAGAGGAGGUUAGAGUUCACCUAUUAUGAGGACGCCCAGCAGGUGGAUAUCUCCACCACAGUGGAGGGGUUCCAGGAGAGGGGGGAUGACAUGAUGGCGUAUCAGUUCUCUACCUCUGACAUUAUCACCAUCCCUCAUGAGCCGUCCUCUGGCUCCUCUCACCAGUUCCCCCAGGAUUCUCCACCUCCCCCUCCGCCUCCCCCAUUCCCUUCCGAUUCCCCUCCACCUUACCACUUCACCCAGGACCAGGCCCAGGACCAGACCCCUGACAGCACUCCUCAGGAGUUUGUGGAGGAGCAACAUAAUGUUGCAGAUGUGCCCCAGCUGUGGAGUUACUUUGGAAACCAAGGGACAACCAACUUCUCUCUGAGGCUGGCCUGUAUCCGACGUGCUAUGGAGGCUCUGACAUCCUCAGACAGUUCCUCCCUUAAUUACCUCACCCACGCUGGGAGGAUGGUGUUGAGUGGACUGUCCAAGCUCAACCAGCAGGAUGUGAGGCAGUUUCAGCAGGCCUAUGACAUCCUGGUGAACUUCAUUAAUGAGCCAGCAAACAGGGAGCGACUAGAGCUGGAGAUGGCUCUUGUAGGAAUCAACCACAUCAACUUCACGGAUGUAUUUUAUGAAUUCGUUCUACUAAGCCUUCUAGAAGGAAAAACAUCUCUUCCAACAUCUAGGCCUGGUACCUUCUUUUAUCUGCUCAUGGAAGUGAUCAUGAGGAUUCGCCCUCCUGGAGGAGCCUGGACAGAGUCUGCUGGGAACUUCUACCUCCUCAUUAAGGAUCAGAUGAAGGCGUGGUUGGACUCCAUCUUCAACCUUGAUGAGUCCAUCUAUGAAAGCCCACAGAGGCUCUCGUGGCAGGUGAUGGUGAAUCUAGAAAUGCAGGUUGACUUCCUCCUGUCCAGCCUGGAUUAAGGGUCCCAAACUGAGCUGAGGAUCCCAAACAUAAAAUAAAAGUAUUUUGCAUUUAAACAUUACCUUUCAAUCUGAAACUAAUUUUACAUCAUGUCAAAACAAAUCAAAUCAAAUUUUAUUGGUCACAAACACAUGGUUAGCAGAUGUUAAUGCGAGUGUAGCGAAAUGCUUGUGCUUCUAGUUCCGACCGUGCAGGAAAAUCUAACACGUAAUCUAACAAUUUCAA